UGGUUUUGAACUGAGAAGAAUGAAAUUUCCUCAAAUCUAUGCAUGAAUGAACAAGUGCAUCUGGACAGAUGCAUCUAUAAUUUAUACUGAUCAGUCACCGCAGGUCUCCCUGAGUAAAGCCGAAAUGAACACUAAUUGUUUUGACGGCCUGGUAACUUUUGCAAGAGAGCAUAAAGUCCUACAUUGGAGUUCCAUACAAGCUUUGGAGGUAGCCCAACAGCUCUUCCCAUCUCUGAGAAGGGCAUGAACAAAGAAACAAGAAAUUCCCCAAGCUACUGAAAGCCAUCUUGGGACUGGGAAAGGAAAUGCUGGGGUUGGAAUCAUUACCAACCAAAGGAGCAGAAAACUCAAGAGCAAGAAGGUGGAUUCUGGUGAUAUCCCUGCGUUCCUGGAUCAUGCCUCACCUGAAACCUCAGCAGAUCCAGCUCUGGAUUUUACAGUCACAGAAGCCAGUUUGAAUCAGGAGCCCACUGGAAUCCAAAGCUUACAGCUUAGGAGGCUGUGGGGGCCACUCAAUUGGUAUGGGAAAGACUGGCUACCCAGUGUUUGUGUGAUCUCUAUUCUCCAAGUCACAGUUUCUUUAUUUGUAACAUGAGAAGGUCAGCCUGAAAUAACAGUAAUGAUGAGGAUAAUAGUGAUGAUUGCCAUAUUCCCAGCACUAUUAGAGUGCCAUCUGUUUUGCUGACGGUUUUUAUAUGCAACAUCUCAUUUAGUUGGUCCAAUAACCUCAUAAAUAGUACUAUGAGGAAGCUGAUACUCAGAGAUCAAAUCACUUGCUAAAAGCCACACAGCACCAUUAGGAAAUAGCAGAGCUGAGAUUUGAUUGAGGCAUCUAACACUAUGGACCAAUUGUUCUUUCUUAAAGAGGCCAACUUCUUUAUUGCAAACCCCCUCUCAUGGUCUGUGAGCGCCAGGAGGACUGGGACCACAGCUAUAGGUUAUUCACACUUUGUUCUCCCAACACCAAGUAUAGUGCUUGGCCAAAAGUAGACAUCCAAGGCAUAUUGUUUGAAUCAAUGAAUUAAUAAAUGAAUGAAUGGCUAGAUGAACUCUAAGAGCCCAUCCACCUCUAAAGUCCUUUGAAAUCUGUCUUAUGCUUUUUGUCUAAUGAGGGCUCCCAGCAGCAUUUCUUGGGUGAAGGGCAAACCUUUUUCUCCUCUGAACUAGUGUUUGUUCUACAGGCUGCCCCCUGCUAAUGAGGGGACACAGCCCAAGGGGAACUGUGUCUCUAGGCUAAUUAUUUUGUGGCUGCUCUGACCACACAAUUCAAAAUAUUCAGGCGAUUGUUGGUGUUUUACAUCUUGCCACUGUUGCCCUUGUCAACUUCCAAGGGCAUAAAGCCACGGCCCACUGGGCUAGCCCUUCCAAGGUCAGCUAGACGGCAAACACACACUUAAUUGAGCUGGAAUAAUAAUUUUUUUUUCCUUUGCUUGAUGUGCAGGUGACAAUACUUAAAAUAUCGACAUGCCUUAAUACUUUUAAAUUCAGUUGUUUGCUGAUCAGCAGCAACUACUUAAAUUGACCAAUCUAUCUUGCCCAGCUGGAGAUCAAGGGAUCAGCACUUAAUUUCAUUCCCUGAAUAAAGAAUUUUUUUUAUAUCCACAUGGAAAUAUCAGAACAUGAAAGGUUAAAUCAAUAUGGAGUUUUACAUUGCUUAAAGGGCAUUUGCAUCAAAGCAGCCCUGAAUGCAAUUCACUUGUUUAAUGAAUUUUUUAUGCUUAUUUAAUGAAUUUCACAAAGGUUUGGUGUUUUUCAUAAAAUGGAUAAGGACUUCCAGUUUUAUGAAAUAAUAAAAAUGGAACUGAAGUUAUGAAAUGAGCAAUCUCAUUAGUUAGGCAUGAUAUAUUCAUAUGAAAAUGUACAUGUCUCUGUAUUAUUGCCUGGGCACCAUUAUGCGAACAGUGGCUUGUUAUAAUAGCCUAGCAAAUAUUCCUCUAGUUAAGAUAUCAAGAAGUGACAGAAGGAAAUUGCAUUUCCUCCCCAUUUCUAAUAAUGACAUAAUUAAUGCUCAUUUAAAAUAAUUACCUGGGCAUUGUUUCCCAAGAGUGCUGAGGCCUAACUCAAUGGUAAACGCAUCCUGAGAUAUUUUUGAACUUCAAUAACUGAAAUGAUGUCCCUUGCUUUUUAAUUCAUUAUUUGUCGAAGCAAGAGUGAUCCCCUGCCUUUCCAUUUUAAUGUCCUGGUGUACAAACAGAAUAUGCUAGACUAAAUUUAUCAAAUUGUCCUCAUAUUGAAGAAAUAUCUUGUGAACUAAUGGAGAGAAAGAGUGGGAGAGAGAGAAAUAUUGUGGUAUCCAUUCUUCCUUCUUUGGCUUUUUUAUGGGGUUGUAUAUUUCUUUGGAUCUUGGACUUCUCAUUGAUGUCCAGAGUUUGGCGAGCUGGUCAGGUACUAUGCUAUUGAUUCAUCUUUGAUGUUCAGAGGUUGGAAAUUGUCCUGGUUAACCAUUUUGGCUUUGGAAUCCAGCUCUGUGCCUUACAACUAUUUGACCUUGGGCAAGUUACUUAACCUCUCUGAUCUCAGCUGUAAAAUAAGGAUCAUGCUUGUUAGUUACUGCCUGAUACAGUAGUGGGCAAGACUAAGUUCAGACAUGGGAAGUGCUUAGCUCUGUGUCUGGCAUCCGGUGGACACUCAGUAACUUCAGCUGUUGUCACAGAUGAGACGCUGCGUCUGGAGCGUGCUACACGCUCUGGUGUAGAGUCUGAACAGAAGUCAUGAAUCAGUGCUAGGCAGGGCCUCACUGGGGAAACUCGAAACUGUUUCAUCUCCCUUCCUUUGCCUAUUCAAGAGGACAGGCAGCUGGAAUGCUCCUCUGGCAUUCAACACUGAUAUCAAUCUCGGCAACAUUAAUAAUACAGUGUGACUGAAUUAAUUCUGGCUCCUCUCAUUUCAGAGAAGGGACAAAUUCAGAUGAACACUUUAGUGAAUAUGUCUGGGGUACCUGCUGGCUGCUGUGCGCCAGCAGAAGGGCCCUAAGAAAAUGGAAAGGCAGAGCUGCCUGUUCUCAAGGAGUUUGUAAUGUUGCUAGGGAAAUUGAGAACAGCCAGGAUACAAUUUCUUUUUUUAACCAAUAAAACUCCUUGUAUCUGUAUAGCACUAUGUAGCUUUCCAAAACCUUUUAACAAUCCCAUAAGUAGUUGGAGCCACUGAUCUCUUAGGACUCCUUCAACAGUAUAUUGAAAUAAUUUCACUGGAUACAGAGAGGUCCUUAGCAUAAUGGUUAGCAAAUUGGUGCCUGCAGUUAGAACUGAGUUUUAGCACCAGCUCUGCAUAGUUCCAGCUGUGUGGCCUCCCACAGGUCACUUAACCUCUCUGAGCAUCAGUUUCCUUUCAAACAGAGAUAAAAAGACCCACUAGCUUUGCUGGCAUAUAAGACACAUCUUCUCCUUUUUUCUCCAACCCCCCAAAAUUACUCUGUAUUCAAUGUGCCCAUAAUCCAGGUGGAAAUUAAAGUUCAAGGUUGAAGAAAGUAAUGGAGGAUGCUACCCCCUAGUGGUAGAAUUAGGUAAUUCAGAGCUUCGCAGCAAAGAUUAACCUUCUGGUAGGGGUGGUGGUUGAUAAAUUUUUACUUAGAUUUUAAAAUAACAAAAAAGCCCAGGCUACAUGACUGAUUAGAGUUUGAGUUAUUUCUGCUAUUUUCCAGACUCAAUGAUACAUGCGUGUUUAUAAAUAUGUGUGUGCAUAUAUACAUAUGUAUAUGUACAUAUAUACACACAUACAUAAUUUUUAAAACUCUGUUAUUUCAUACUCUUGGAAAAGUUAGUCAACUACUACUGAAUAUCCAGAAAUUAUGACUUUCUACUCUAUUCCAAUAUAUAUAGUCUACUGUAUUUAUAAUAAUGAAAUAUAAAACAGUAAAAUUAUAAACUAAUAUUCUUUCCCAUACAAAAUCACUUUAA